GGAUGAAGCCAGAAACCAUCAUUCUCAGCAAACUAACACAAGAACAGAAAACCAAACACCUCAUGUUCUCACUCAUAAGUGGGAGUUGAACAAUGAGAACACACGGACACAGGGAGGGAAACAUCAUAAACCAGGGCCUGUCGGGUGGAGAGGAGGUCAAGG